rnacentral:rRNA from 1 species
GAUGAACGCUGGCGGCGUGCUUAACACAUGCAAGUCGAACGGAGAGCCAAUGACGGAGUUUUCGGACAACGGAUUUGGUUUCUUAGUGGCGGACGGGUGAGUAACGCGUGAGCAACCUGCCUUGGAGUGGGGAAUAACAGCUGGAAACAGUUGCUAAUACCGCAUAAUGCAGCGAGGGGACAUCCUCUUGCUGCCAAAGAUUUAUCGCUCUGAGAUGGACUCGCGUCUGAUUAGCUAGUUGGCGGGGUAACGGCCCACCAAGGCGACGAUCAGUAGCCGGACUGAGAGGUUGACCGGCCACAAGGGGACUGAGACACGGCCCUU